GACGUAGGGCGCGAGCGUUGUCCGGAUUUAUUGGGCGUAAAGAGCUCGUAGGCGGCUUGUCGCGCCGGACUCGUGAAAUCCCGCGGCUCAACUGCGGGUCUGCAGUCGAUACGGGCAGGCUAGAGUUCGGUAGGGGAGACUGGAAUUCCUGGUGUAGCGGUGAAAUGCGCAGAUAUCAGGAGGAACACCAGUGGCGAAGGCGCCACUCUGGGCCGUAACUGACGCUGAGGAGCGAAAGCGUGGGUAGCAAACAGG
rnacentral:rRNA from 1 species